rfam:Caenorhabditis japonica strain DF5081 Contig9263.1, whole genome shotgun sequence.
GUUGGAUCUAGGUUACGUGCCGCAGUUCGCAAUUUGCGUUAACUGUGGUCGUGACUUCUAAUUUGCUGGUUUGAGGUUGGGUUCGCCCUUCAACUGCCAGCAGGUUUACCUUGAAUAAAUCAGAGUGCUCAAUACAGGCGCUUGCUUGAAUAGCUCAUCAUGGAAUAAUGAAACAGGACUUCGGUUCUUUUUGUUGGUUCUAGAAUUGAUCUAAUGGUUAAGAGGGACAAACCGGGGGCAUUCGUAUCAUUACGCGAGAGGUGAAAUUCGUGGACCGUAGUGAGACGCCCCAAUAGCGAAAGCAUUUGCCAAGAAUGUCUUCAUUAAUCAAGAACGAAAGUCAGAGGUUCGAAGGCGAUUAGAUACCGCCCUAGUUCUGACCGUAAACGAUGCCAUCUCGCAUUCGGAGGGUUCAUGCCCUACCGAGGAGCUACCCGGAAACGAAAGUCUUUCGGUUCCGGGGGUAGUAUGGUUGCAAAGCUGAAACUUAAAGAAAUUGACGGAAGGGCACCACAAGGCGUGGAGCUUGCGGCUUAAUUUGACUCAACACGGGAAAACUCACCCGGUCCGGACACUAUUAGGACUGACAGAUUGAAAGCUCUUUCUCGAUUUGGUGGUUGGUGGUGCAUGGCCGUUCUUAGUUGGUGGAGUGAUUUGUCUGGUUUAUUCCGAUAACGAGCGAGACUCUAGCCUGCUAAAUAGUCGACGAAUCUUCGGGUUCGUAUAACUUCUUAGAGGGAUAAGCGGUGUUUAGCCGCACGAGAUUGAGCGAUAACAGGUCUGUGAUGCCCUUAGAUGUCCGGGGCUGCACGCGUGCUACACUGGUGGAGUCAGCGGGUUUUUCCUAUGCCGAAAGGUAUCGGUAAACCGUUGAACUUCUUCCAGUGUCCGGGAUAGGGUAUUGUAAUUAUUACCCUUAAACGAGGAAUGCCUAGUAAGUGUGAGUCAUCAGCUCACGUUGAUUACGUCCCUGCCCUUUGUACACACCGCCCGUCGCUAUCCGGGACUGAACUGAUUCGAGAAGAGUGGGGACUGUGGCUGCGAGGUUUUACCACUUCGCAGUUGCGGAAACCAUUUUUAUCGCAUUGGUUUGAACCGGGUAAAAGUCGUAACAAGGUAGCUGUAGGUGAACCUGCAGCUGGAUCAUCG